UACAUGGGGUGCAAACGUUGCUCGGAAUUAUUGGGCUUAAAGCGUGUGUAGGCGGGCCGGUAAGUGUCUUGUGAAAUCCCCCGGCUCAACCGGGGAAUUGCUGGGCAUACUGGCGGUCUUGAGCAAUCUAGGGGCAGAUGGAACAAGUGGUGGAGCGGUGAAAUGCGUUGAGAUCGGAAGGAACGCCGACGGCGAAAGCAAGGUCCUGGACUCGUCCUGACGCUGAGGCGCGAAAGCCAGGGGAGCGAACGGG
rnacentral:rRNA from 1 species